AUGGAUGUGAUGAUUAUUUCCCCAGAUGAUCGAAGCUGAACAUUCUGUGCGAUUUUUUUUUCUCUUUUGAGAAAUCAAGCCAAAUAAUCUGAUCCAU
rnacentral:snoRNA from 1 species